GACGAACGCUGGCGGCGUGCUUAACACAUGCAAGUCGAGCGGCGCGGCGAACGGGUGAGUAACGCGUGAGUAACUGCCCCCCUCUCUGGGAUAACAGUUGGAAACGGCUGCUAAUACCGGAUAGUGGGGGAUGACUCGCGUCCUAUCAGCUUGUUGGUGGGGUAGUGGCCUACCAAGGCGACGACGGGUUGCCGGCCUGGGAGGGCGACCGGCCACAUUGGGCUGAGGUACGGCACAAGCGCCGACGGGGGGCAGCAGUGGGGAAGAUUGCACAAUGGGGGAAACCCUGAUGCAGCAACGCCGAGUGCGGGAUGACGGCUUUCGGGUUGUAAACCGCGUUCAGCCAUGACGCGGUAGUGGCAGAAGAAGCACCGGCUAACUACGGGCCAGCAGCCGCGGUAAUAC
rnacentral:rRNA from 1 species